AGCAGUUAAAUGGUUGUAAUAGUAUUAUAAUGGAAAAUAAUGAUAAACUCAAGACCAAUAUUCAUAAUGCUGGGGUCGGUGGUUCAAGUCCACCCAUAGCUACCA
rnacentral:tRNA from 1 species